GGUGGGGCGCAAUGGGACACAAUGGGACACAGUGGGGACACAAUGGGGCACUAUGGGACACAAUGGGACACAGUGGGGCACAAUGGGGCACUAUAGGACACAGUAGGGCACACAAUGGGACACAAUGGGGACAAAGGGACACAAUGGGGUGCAGUGGGGCGCAGUGGGGCGCUAUGGGGCACAGUGGAGACAAUGGAGGUGCAAUGGGACACAAUGGGACACAGUGGGGCACAAUGGGGCGCAAUGGGACACAAUAGGGCACAAUGGGGCACAAUGGGGGCACAAUGGGACACAAUAGGGCACAAUGGGGCGCAAUGGGGCACAAUGGGGCACAAUGGGACACAAUGGGACACUAUAGGACACAAUAGGGCACACAAUGGGACACAAUGGGGACAAAGGGACACAAUGGGGCGCAGUGGGGCGCAGUGGGGCGCUAUGGGGCACAGUGGGGCACAGUGGGGCACAAUGGGACACAAUGGGACGCAAUGGGGCGCAAUGGGGCCCUAUAGGACACAAUAGGGCACUAUAGGACACAAUAGGGCACACAAUGGGACACAGUGGGGACAAAGGGACGCAGUGGGGCACAGUGGGACACAAUGGUGACACAGUGGGACACAAUGGGGCACUAUGGGGCACUAUGGGGCGCAAUGGGGCGCAAUGGGGCACAAUGGGGGCACAAUGGGGCGCAAUGGGACACAGUGGGACACAGUGGGACACAAUAGGACACACAAUGGGACACAAUGGGGACAAAGGGACACAAUGGGACACAAUGGAGCACAAUGGGACACAAUGGGACACAAUGGGGCACAAUGGGGCGCAAUGGGACACUAUAGGACACAAUGGGGCACACAAUGGGACACAAUGGGGACAAAGGGACGCAGUGGGGCACAGUGGGACACAAUGGUGACACAGUGGGACACAAUGGGGCACUAUGGGGCACAAUGGGACACAAUGGGACACAAUAGGGCACAAUGGGGCGCAAUGGGGCACAAUGGGACACAAUGGGACACAAUGGGACACAGUGGGGCGCAAUGGGACACAAUGGGACACUAUAGGACACAAUAGGGCACACAAUGGGACACAAUGGGGACAAAGGGGCGUAGUGGGACACAAUGGCGCACUAUGGGACACAGUGGGACACAAUGGAGCACAAUGGGGCGCAGUGGGGCGCAGUGGGGCGCUAUGGGGCACAGUGGGGCACAGUGGGGCACAGUGGGGCACAAUAGGGCACAGUGGGGCACAAUGGGACACAAUGUGGCACAGUGGGGCACAAUGGGGCACAAUGGGACACUAUAGGACACAAUGGGACACACAAUGGGACACAAUGGGGACAAAGGGGCGCAGUGGGGCGCUAUGGGGCGCUGUGGGGCGCAGUGGGGCGCUAUGGGGCGCUAUGGGGCGCAGUGGGGACCCGUUGUUGCCCACGUGGUUCCUCUGACGUCCCAGUGCAGGGUGGGGGCGGGGCGGGCGCUGCUGGUGCUGCAGCUCAGCUCCACCAAAGUGCCGGGACGGGGGGACGGCGGGGACACCGAGAUGGACACCGACUGCGGGGGGACUGCGGGACGCACGGACACGGUGGGACACACGGACACAUAGGGACCCAUUGGGACACCACUGAGACCCACAGAGACCCCAUAGGGACCAGAGGGACACAUAGGGACCCAUAGGAACCACAUAGGGUUGCAUAGGGACCCAUAGAGACCCCAUAAGGGACCAUAGGGACUCAUAGGGACCCAUAGAGAUCAUAGGGGCACACAGGGACCCAGAGAGACCCCAUGGGGACCAUAGGGAUGCAUAGGGACCCACAGAAACCCCAUAGGGACCAUAGGGACCAUAGGGAUGCAUAGGAACCCGUAGAGACCCAUAGAGACCCAUAGAGACCCAUAGGGACCCCAUAGGGAUGCAUAGGGACCCAUAGAGACCCAUAGAGAUCAUAGGGGCACACAGGGACCCAUAGAGACCCAUAAGAGACCCAUAGAGACCCCAUAGGGACCACAGGGACCAUAGGGACCAUAGGGACCCACAGAAACCCCAUAGGGACCCAUUGGGACAUCACAGAAACCCA
rnacentral:lncRNA from 1 species